CUCUAGGGCUCUCUCAGCCAUGGUGAGCUCUUUAGUUUUCUGGAGGAAGCACAUCCUCUCGGCACAUGUCAUCUGGGAGGCCUGACUUGUCUUCCCAGCACUGUGGAAACUGUCCCCUCACCACACCCUCUGUCUCUCUGGACCCCUGUGUUCCUUGGAGGCCCGGGGUUCCCACUCUAUCCCCUCUGCUUCUGUCUUGCAGUAGGAAUUCCGGGGCAGAGGAGCUCUCUUCCACACCACUGUAGACGGGCACCUGCCUGGAGAUCGUGUCUGAGAGCCGAGAGGGGGCUACUGGGGGGGAUGACUUCCACUUCCAGAACCUGCUGAUGCUGACGCUUGCUGUACCAGAGAGAACUGGCUGAGGAGGUGUUCAAGGCCAGGGCAGGAGGUAUGGGGAAGCCAGGUUUCCAUCGAGAUCUUUACCUUCUGGAAGUUCAGAGAAAACAUUCAGAUUUCAAAAGGAGAAGAGAAUGGGGAACUAGCUUAUGCUACGUGGAUCUUUGAAACCUGGGGGUGAGCUUCUCCAAUCUGAAGAAUAUCCAGCUUUACAAACUCUGAAAGGUUCUAUAAAAAAAAAUCCUCUUCCAUUGAUUUUUGUCGCCUGGGAUCUUUUACCGCUGACCAACAAGGUUUGCUGCCUGGGUGUGGCAUUGAACUUGAUGGACUUCUUAAUACAAUGUGGAUUCAUUAUUUCACAAAAGGAGCUUUGACUUUUACUUGGUCAGGUGGUCAUGAAAACUCUUCACUCGGACAUGGUGGACAACUGACGGGCGGCUAUUGGAGCACUCCUGCAGACGAAUGUGGAUCUGCCCCAAGUCAGAUGCCAAGGCCAAACUUCUUGUGGGCUGCUCCCGGCCAGUGACGGAGCCCAGCUGAGCUCUGAUUGCACAUCCAUUCCUGAAGGAGCAGAACUUCUUUCACAGGUGACUUUGGCUCAAGGUCUCCCCAAUAGUCUGGCCCAAGUUUAUGAGGCCUGCAUUGCUGUCCCCCAACCCUCCUUCCUUCCCUUUGUCCUGCAUGGAGGUCAGGACUGUCUCAGAGUCUGAAGACUCUUGCUACCUUCUCAGCCUUCCUCCCAGUGGUGUGCUGGAGCUGGCUUUUAAUGCAUAGUCUGUGAGGGCCAAUUAUUAAUUAUUAGAUUUUUGAGUUCAUUAUUAAAUACAGACAUUAUUAAAAAUAAAUUAUAGAAACUUAUAGUUAAUUAAAUUAUAUUAAAAGAAAAGAUGAGGACAGAAUUCAUCGCUUCCUAACUAUUUAUCAUGUUUCCCAGUGCUCUGUGCUCUGCGGGUUAUUGAGGCCUGGGGUAUCUGUGUGGUAAAGGACUGUACCACAGGGUGCUGUAGCCAAGUGUCACUUCUGAACUCAUCUUCCUGGAUGGCACUGGUAGCUUGACCAGUGGUAGGAACAUUUGCACCACACAGAUGUCAAACACUAUUAUACACAGAUUUAAUUUACGUUUUUGUUCAUUGCAGGACAACGAUUUGGCCCUCUGGCCCAAUCUAGACAGUUUUUGUAAAUGAAGUUUUAUUGGAGGAUGGCCCUGUAAGUGUGUGGACCUGUUUAGUUGACACAUGGUCAUCAUUGCUUUCUCACUACCAUGGCAGAGCUGAGUCACUACAGCACAGACCGUGAGACUUAUCAAACCAAAAAUAUUUAUUCCCUGGUACUUUUGAAAAAGUAUUUGCUGACCCCUGGUCUACAUUUAAGAGAGCCAUGGGGGAAAUUUGAAUCAUUCCGACUAAAGUUAGAAGAGUGGCACGUCUAUAGCUAUCACGUUUGGAAUCCAAAACAGUUGAGGAAAUGUUCUUUCAGAAUUAAAAAAAUCAAUUAUGAGCAAUGACGUGCACUUGGUGGAACUGGAUAGCCAUUGAAUACUUCUUUGUUGUUGGAUUUUGUCAAAUCAUGCUUGCAUUGCAUGGUGGGCUAUAGAUACAAGAGGUUGCCCAAAACUCCCAAGAGCAUGCUGGGAGAAUCAGUGGGCUGUAUAGAAUUUCCGGUAAAGAUCAUACUGCAUUUUCCUGUUAUUUGCAAGUCGUGUGCUAUAGGGCCUUGGUAUCCGUGAGAUUUAUAGCAGACGUGUGCGUGGAUUCACAUGUGCUUCUCCCCAGAGCCAGUUGCUAAGCAGGGAUCAGCAUACCCUCGCUUCUUCCCAUUUUUCUUCCAUAGGUGCUUCCCCCAAUAAAUCGUACGCACAUCUAAUCUCGCCUUGGCCUCUGCUUCUUAGAGGACCUGAAUCAACACAUUUGGUCUGAUGCAUUUCUUCUAGGACGCGGCUUAGGAAUCUGGGAUUCAUAACACAUUUAUCCACUUUUUAUAGUAGCCCUGCCACUAUUUAUUGCCAAACAGUGAAGGAUUCAGGUUCCCAUCUUCCCAAAUGACCUUUAAAUCCUAGUUUAUGAAUAUUUAGACUGAUUGCUGCUCCUUUUUGGUCAAUAUCUUUCAUCGCUGUGUUGCUUCUGCUUAAUUUUGGGUUCUUAGUAAACUGGUGAAUAUAAAUGGAGCUUUUACUUUGCAAUGGGGGCGGUCACCGUGAGGAAGAUAAUGCUUAAAAAUUAGUGUAUAGAUUGAGAUACGUGAGUGGAGUGAGAAAACAGGCACUAAUGCUCACGAGGGGCGUUUUUACCUUCAGCCUAGAAAUGCCUCAUUUUUCAAAGGGAGGCCAAAUCUUAUUUAUUAUUUGCUGUUCUGGAUCCUUCCGAGUUGUGCAGGAGUUGUGGCUCCUAUCUAGAAACACAGAUUCUCCUUGGUAAGUAUGGGCCUUAACUAGAAGGCAGGGUGAUGCUUGUGAAGGUCUUCGCCAUAAUUGUAAUGUCCUUACUGGGCACCAGUAAGGAUCAACUGGGCCCAUCAUUGUACUUUUUCUGUCAUUUACCAGGCAUUAGACAUCUGUGUUAUUUGGGGUCCUCUAAGAAGCAGAUUUAGGAAAAACAAAGUGGGAGGAACAGAGUGGUUAGGAAGGGCCAGCAGCCUCCAGUGCUGAUCUGACGUCUGUGGAAGAGGGAAAGGGAGCAGAAAUGGCGGGGUAGGAGGAGCCCCGUGGCACAGCCCCCUUCUGAGAAAGCUUGGGUUGGGCUGACCGGGAGUCUCUGAGCAAACCCUGGCCCUCGGAGGAGCCCUGUCAUGCAGGACUUGUGUGGGAAGAGCACCUGCCAUGCUUAGUCGCCGGCUGGGGGCUGCCCAGGGGGCAGUGUGGCCUCAGCUCCGUCACCAUGACCGAUGUGGGGAGGUGGCAGCUGGAGGAUCGGUCAACUGUCCUCCGCAAAGGAGCUCAGAGGGGGACCAGAAUUGUGGCCGUAAUAUGCGAAGAAGAGAAACGAAAACAGCAAUCCCUUCCCCCGAGGAAUUUAUAAUUGACGGAUUCCUUGAUCUCCUAGUUCAGAUCUCAUUACUCCAAUCUUCUCUCCUGUGUUUUGUUUACUAUGAAAUGUUGGAUGGUGAUUUUGCUCCUCCUCCUGCAUUCCAGGAGGGACAGGAUCUUUAUAGUUGUUUUCCAUGGUGGGGAGAGUGGGGUCUGAGCUUGAUUCUGUGUGUUUCUAUGUGACUACCCAGGUCACAGGGCAGAGCUCAGUCAAUCAACACAGGCCAAAAAGCUUCCACAUGCUCAUCAUCUGAGCAACUCCACUUACCAACCACAUUUUCUAUUCUCGUUUUGGGUGACAAAUCUACCUAAAAACGUCCUCUCUGCUUAUCCU